AUCAAAAUCCAACCAAACAACCCCCCACGACGACGACAAGGACGAUGACUAUGAUGAUGAUGACGAUGUGACAAUAAAAUGUCCGCAGUGCCCAUCGUUUGGCCAUGGCCAUAAAAUGUAUCCAUGGAUGCAUGAGCAUAAGCGCUUUAACUGCAGCUCGCCCUGGUUUUAUGGACAGUGCGUUGCAUAAGUGCAAUGUAGUUGAUGAUUUGAAUUGCGGGGAUUUAAAGUCUAUUACCUAAAGCUAUAUAACUGCCUGAAUUCUAUUAAAUGGCGAAGAAAAUGGCACUAAGGAAUCAAAAU
ensembl:ncRNA lncRNA:CR45462 long non-coding RNA:CR45462